rnacentral:rRNA from 1 species
AAAUUGAAGAGUUUGAUCAUGGCUCAGAUUGAACGCUGGCGGCAGGCCUAACACAUGCAAGUCGAGCGGAAACGAGUUAUCUGAACCUUCGGGGAACGAUAACGGCGUCGAGCGGCGGACGGGUGAGUAAUGCCUAGGAAAUUGCCCUGAUGUGGGGGAUAACCAUUGGAAACGAUGGCUAAUACCGCAUGAUGCCUACGGGCCAAAGAGGGGGACCUUCGGGCCUCUCGCGUCAGGAUAUGCCUAGGUGGGAUUAGCUAGUUGGUGAGGUAAGGGCUCACCAAGGCGACGAUCCCUAGCUGGUCUGAGAGGAUGAUCAGCCACACUGGAACUGAGACACGGUCCAGACUCCUACGGGAGGCAGCAGUGGGGAAUAUUGCACAAUGGGCGCAAGCCUGAUGCAGCCAUGCCGCGUGUGUGAAGAAGGCCUUCGGGUUGUAAAGCACUUUCAGUCGUGAGGAAGGUAGUGUAGUUAAUAGCUGCAUUAUUUGACGUUAGCGACAGAAGAAGCACCGGCUAACUCCGUGCCAGCAGCCGCGGUAAUACGGAGGGUGCGAGCGUUAAUCGGAAUUACUGGGCGUAAAGCGCAUGCAGGUGGUUUGUUAAGUCAGAUGUGAAAGCCCGGGGCUCAACCUCGGAAUUGCAUUUGAAACUGGCAGACUAGAGUACUGUAGAGGGGGGUAGAAUUUCAGGUGUAGCGGUGAAAUGCGUAGAGAUCUGAAGGAAUACCGGUGGCGAAGGCGGCCCCCUGGACAGAUACUGACACUCAGAUGCGAAAGCGUGGGGAGCAAACAGGAUUAGAUACCCUGGUAGUCCACGCCGUAAACGAUGUCUACUUGGAGGUUGUGGCCUUGAGCCGUGGCUUUCGGAGCUAACGCGUUAAGUAGACCGCCUGGGGAGUACGGUCGCAAGAUUAAAACUCAAAUGAAUUGACGGGGGCCCGCACAAGCGGUGGAGCAUGUGGUUUAAUUCGAUGCAACGCGAAGAACCUUACCUACUCUUGACAUCCAGAGAACUUUCCAGAGAUGGAUUGGUGCCUUCGGGAACUCUGAGACAGGUGCUGCAUGGCUGUCGUCAGCUCGUGUUGUGAAAUGUUGGG